rnacentral:rRNA from 1 species
AUUGAACGCUGGCGGCAGGCCUAACACAUGCAAGUCGAGCGGAGGAAGGGAGCUUGCUCCUGGAUUCAGCGGCGGACGGGUGAGUAAUGCCUAGGAAUCUGCCUGGUAGUGGGGGAUAACGUCCGGAAACGGGCGCUAAUACCGCAUACGUCCUGAGGGAGAAAGUGGGGGAUCUUCGGACCUCACGCUAUCAGAUGAGCCUAGGUCGGAUUAGCUAGUUGGUGGGGUAAAGGCCUACCAAGGCGACGAUCCGUAACUGGUCUGAGAGGAUGAUCAGUCACACUGGAACUGAGACACGGUCCAGACCCCUACGGGAGGCAGCAGUGGGGAAUAUUGGACAAUGGGCGAAAGCCUGAUCCAGCCAUGCCGCGUGUGUGAAGAAGGUCUUCGGAUUGUAAAGCACUUUAAGUUGGGAGGAAGGGCAGUAAGUUAAUACCUUGCUGUUUUGACGUUACCAACAGAAUAAGCACCGGCUAACUUCGUG